AUGGUAGGAGAGCGUUCUAAGGGCGUUGAAGCAUGAUCGUAAGGACAUGUGGAGCGCUUAGAAGUGAGAAUGCCGGUGUGAGUAGCGAAAGACGGGUGAGAAUCCCGUCCACCGAUUGACUAAGGUUUCCAGAGGAAGGCUCGUCCGCUCUGGGUUAGUCGGGUCCUAAGCUGAGGCCGACAGGCGUAGGCGAUGGAUAACAGGUUGAUAUUCCUGUACCACCUAUAAUCGUUUUAAUCGAUGGGGGGACGCAGUAGGAUAGGCGAAGCGUGCGAUUGGAUUGCACGUCUAAGCAGUAAGGCUGAGUAUUAGGCAAAUCCGGUACUCGUUAAGGCUGAGCUGUGAUGGGGAGAAGACAUUGUGUCUUCGAGUCGUUGAUUUCACACUGCCGAGAAAAGCCUCUAGAUAGAAAAUAGGUGCCCGUACCGCAAACCGACACAGGUAGUCAAGAUGAGAAUUCUAAGGUGAGCGAGCGAACUCUCGUUAAGGAACUCGGCAAAAUGACCCCGUAACUUCGGGAGAAGGGGUGCUCUUUAGGGUUAACGCCCAGAAGAGCCGCAGUGAAUAGGCCCAAGCGACUGUUUAUCAAAAACACAGGUCUCUGCUAAACCGUAAGGUGAUGUAUAGGGGCUGACGCCUGCCCGGUGCUGGAAGGUUAAGAGGAGUGGUUAGCUUCUGCGAAGCUACGAAUCGAAGCCCCAGUAAACGGCGGCCGUAACUAUAACGGUCCUAAGGUAGCGAAAUUCCUUGUCGGGUAAGUUCCGACCCGCACGAAAGGCGUAACGAUUUGGGCACUGUCUCAACGAGAGACUCGGUGAAAUCAUAGUACCUGUGAAGAUGCAGGUUACCCGCGACAGGACGGAAAGACCCCGUGGAGCUUUACUGUAGCCUGAUAUUGAAAUUCGGCACAGCUUGUACAGGAUAGGUAGGAGCCUUUGAAACGUGAGCGCUAGCUUACGUGGAGGCGCUGGUGGGAUACUACCCUAGCUGUGUUGGCUUUCUAACCCGCACCACUUAUCGUGGUGGGAGACAGUGUCAGGCGGGCAGUUUGACUGGGGCGGUCGCCUCCUAAAAGGUAACGGAGGCGCUCAAAGGUUCCCUCAGAAUGGUUGGAAAUCAUUCAUAGAGUGUAAAGGCAUAAGGGAGCUUGACUGCGAGACCUACAAGUCGAGCAGGGUCGAAAGACGGACUUAGUGAUCCGGUGGUUCCGCAUGGAAGGGCCAUCGCUCAACGGAUAAAAGCUACCCCGGGGAUAACAGGCUUAUCUCCCCCAAGAGUUCACAUCGACGGGGAGGUUUGGCACCUCGAUGUCGGCUCAUCGCAUCCUGGGGCUGUAGUCGGUCCCAAGGGUUGGGCUGUUCGCCCAUUAAAGCGGUACGCGAGCUGGGUUCAGAACGUCGUGAGACAGUUCGGUCCCUAUCCGUCGUGGGCGUAGGAAAUUUGAGAGGAGCUGUCCUUAGUACGAGAGGACCGGGAUGGACAUACCUCUGGUGUACCAGUUGUCGUGCCAACGGCAUAGCUGGGUAGCUAUGUGUGGACGGGAUAAGUGCUGAAAGCAUCUAAGCAUGAAGCCCCCCUCAAGAUGAGAUUUCCCAACUUCGGUUAUAAGAUCCCUCAAAGAUGAUGAGGUUAAUAGGUUCGAGGUGGAAGCAUGGUGACAUGUGGAGCUGACGAAUACUAA
rnacentral:rRNA from 1 species